rfam:Cricetulus griseus cell line CHO-K1, whole genome shotgun sequence.
GUACUUACCUGGCAGGAGAGAGGUACCAUGAUCAUGAAGGUGGUUUUUCCCAGGGCGAGGCUUAUCCUUAUUGCACUCCGGAUGUGCAGACCCCUGCGAUCCCCCCAAAUUCGGGAAACUCAGCUGCAUGAUUUGUGGUGGUGGGAGGGACUGCACUCACGCUCUCCCCUG